GUGGGUUAUUCUAUUAUUGUUUCAAUAUAUUAGGUGUCACUUUUGACUUACAGCCUCUACUUACGAUCACAACUAUUUACUCUUUAUUUUAUGACACGCUUGAAUGGCUUGCUUCUCUGCAACCUUUUUUAGUUCCUUUUCAUUGCAACAAAAGACUAUAGAUUAAGCCAAUAAUAACUUGCACAUAAUUAAUAAAUGAUUAAGUUACAACAGUAGAAGUUAAUUCUAAAUAUUCUUUCAUGGAUUGAAAUCGUGGAGAGGCUCUCCACCAUGGGAAUGGCAGUUAACUGCUAACUUACGUGAUCUCAGUCACGCAUCUGCCAAGCUCAACUGCAGUCAAUACUGGACUGACUUCAUGGGGACAUCAUUUCAAGGUUGUAUUGGAAUUAUCGAACGGAUUCGUUAACUGACUUUGACAUUGAAAAACUUUUUCCGAACUUAAACGAAGGAAGACGGAAAGAACAGUCAGUAGAAAAAAGAAAUUGUGAAGAGAUUAGGUGGCUCGACCUCACCGGAACAAAACUCCAAAU
rnacentral:lncRNA from 1 species